rnacentral:rRNA from 1 species
GUUUGAUCCUGGCUCAGGAUGAACGCUAGCGGCAGGCCUAAUACAUGCAAGUCGGACGGGAUUGAGGAGCUUGCUCUUCAUGAGAGUGGCGCACGGGUGCGUAACACGUAUGUAACCUACCCAUAUCAGGGGGAUAGCCUCUCGAAAGAGAGAUUAAGCCCGCAUAAAAUCACACUGUGGCAUCACAGAAUGAUCAAAUAUUUAUAGGAUAUGGAUGGGCAUGCGGAACAUUAGCUAGUUGGUAAGGUAACGGCUUACCAAGGCUACGAUGUUUAGGGGAUCUGAGAGGAUGAUCCCCCACACUGGUACUGAGAUACGGACCAGACUCCUACGGGAGGCAGCAGUAGGGAAUAUUGGUCAAUGGACGGAAGUCUGAACCAGCCAUGCCGCGUGCAGGAAGACGGCCCUAUGGGUUGUAAACUGCUUUUGCAGGGGAAUAAACCUCGAUACGUGUAUCGAGUUGAAUGUACAGUAAGAAUAAGGAUCGGCUAACUCCGUGCCAGCAGCCGCGGUAAUACGGAGGAUCCGAGCGUUAUCCGGAUUUAUUGGGUUUAAAGGGUGCGUAGGCGGCCUGUUAAGUCAGUGGUGAAAGCCUCCAGCUUAACUGGAGAACAGCCAUUGAUACUGAAGAGCUUGAGUACAGACGAGGUAGGCGGAAUUUAUGGUGUAGCGGUGAAAUGCAUAGAUACCAUAAAGAACUCCUAUUGCGAAGGCAGCUUACUAUGGUGCAAUUGACGCUGAGGCACGAAAGCGUGGGGAUCAAACAGGAUUAGAUACCCUGGUAGUCCACGCCCUAAACGAUGAACACUCGAUGUUAGCGAUAUACAGUUAGCGUCUAAGCGAAAGCGUUAAGUGUUCCACCUGGGGAGUACGCCCGCAAGGGUGAAACUCAAAGGAAUUGACGGGGGCCCGCACAAGCGGAGGAGCAUGUGGUUUAAUUCGAUGAUACGCGAGGAACCUUACCCGGGCUUGAAAGUUAGUGAAUGAUUCAGAGACGGAUCAGUCCUUCGGGACACGAAACUAGGUGCUGCAUGGCUGUCGUCAGCUCGUGUCGUGAGAUGUUGGGUUAAGUCCCGCAACGAGCGCAACCCUUGUCAUUAGUUGCUACGAAAGGGCACUCUAAUGAGACUGCCGGUGACAAACCGGAGGAAGGUGGGGAUGACGUCAAGUCAUCAUGGCCCUUACGGCCUGGGCUACACACGUGCUACAAUGGUCGGUACAGAGGGUUGCAAUACCGCGAGGUGGAGCCAAUCCCAGAAAGCCAAUCUCAGUCCGGAUCGGAGUCUGCAACUCGACUCCGUGAAGUCGGAAUCGCUAGUAAUCGCAGAUCAGCAUUGCUGCGGUGAAUACGUUCCCGGGCCUUGUACACACCGCCCGUCACACCAUGGGAGUUUGUUGCACCAGAAGCAGGUAGCUUAACCUUCGGGAGGGCGCUUGCCACGGUGUGGCCGAUGACUGGGGUGAAGUCGAAACAAGGUAGCCGUAGGG